UGAGAUGUUAUCUUGCUUAAUAACUCACU
rnacentral:piRNA from 1 species